GGGAGAUAAUUGAAUCAUGGGGGCCCAUCUUUCCCAUGCUAUUCUCAUGAUAGUGAAUAAGUCUCAGGAGAUCUGAUGGGUUUAUCAGGGGUUUCCACUUUUGCUUCUUCCUCAUUUUCUCUUGCUGCUGCCAUGUAAGAAGUGCCUUUCACCUUCCGCCACGAUUCUCAGGCCUCCCCAGCCAUGUGGAACUCUCUGCCCUCAUCAUGAGACCAUGCCCAGGCUAGUCUGCUGGAAGGAAGUCAGAGGCACACGGAAGAGAGCCACAUUCAGCCAAGGCCAUUCUAGACCAGUUGUUCCCUGUCACUUCACUAAUUGGCCACAGCACAAGGUACACGGAUGGAGCUGGAAGCCAUUAUCCUCAGCAAACUAAUGUAGGAACAGAAAACCAAAUAUUGCAUGUUCUUACUUAUAAGUGGGAGCUGAACAACGAGAACACAUGGACACAGGGAGGGAAACAACACACACUGGGGCCUGUCCAGCAGUAAGGUUGAGGCAGGGAAAGCAUUAGGAAAAAUAGCUAUGCAUGCUGGGCUGAAUACUGGGUGAUGGAUUGAUAGGUGCAGCAAACCACCAUGGCAUAUGUUUACCUUUGUAAGAAACCAGCACAUCCUGCACAUGUACCCUGGAACUUAAAAUAAAAAUUAAAAUGUUUUUUAAAAAAGUCAUGAUGUUUUCUCAGCAGCCCAG
rnacentral:lncRNA from 1 species